rnacentral:rRNA from 1 species
UCGCCUGUUUAUCAAAAACAUUGUUAAAAGCAAAAAAUAUUUUUAAUAAUUUCUGCUCAAUGUCUUUUAAGAUAAAUAGCUGCAUUUGUACUAAGGUAGCAUAAUCAUUUGUCUUUUAAUUGAAGACUAGAAUGAAUGAAUUUUUGGAAAAAAGCUGUUCCAUUAGUAUAAAUAUAAAUUGAUUAUAAAGUGAAAAAGCUUUAAUUUAAAAAGGGACGAAAAGACCCUAAGAGUUUAUAAAGAAAUUUUGUUGGGGUGACAGAGGAAAUUUAAUCUUCCUUGAAAUAAUAUGAAAUAAUUACAGCACAAAUAAACUACCUUAGGGAUAACAGCAUAAUCUAUAUUUAGGUUUGUGACCUCGAUGUUGGACUAAGAAUUUUUCUGCCUAAAGGGCAGAAAUAAAUGUUCUGUUCGAACAAUACUUUCUUACGUGAUCUGA